rnacentral:rRNA from 1 species
CCUACGGGAGGCAGCAGUGGGGAAUAUUGGGCAAUGGAGGCAACUCUGACCCAGCAACGCCGCGUGAGUGAUGAAGGUCUUCGGAUUGUAAAACUCUUUAAGUGGGGACGAAGAAAGUGACUGUACCCACAGAAUAAGCCUCGGCUAACUACGUGCCAGCAGCCGCGGUAAUACGUAGGUGGCGAGCGUUAUCCGGAAUGAUUGGGCGUAAAGGUUGCGCAGGCGGUCCUGCAAGUCUGGAGUGAAACGUAUGAGCUCAACUCAUGCAUGGCUCUGGAAACUGGAGGACUGGAGAGCAGGAGAGGGCGGUGGAACUCCAUGUGUAGCGGUAAAAUGCGUAGAUAUAUGGAAGAACACCAGUGGCGAAGGCGGCCGCCUGGCCUGUUGCUGACGCUGAGGCACGAAAGCGUGGGGAGCAAAUAGGAUUAGAUACCCCGGUAGUC